CGGGAGAUCGGAUCAACACAUCAAGCCACACUAUCUAGUUUAAUCCGGUAGUUUUUGAAAUGUAAAUUUUGGUUUAUAUGGCAUGUAUAGGGUUGGUUUAGAAAUGAAAUAGUUUGAAUUGUGGUUGUGAAUCUUAAAUGUUUGUAUGUGUGUAAUUAGUAGUAGAAUUUGAUAAUGAGUUAAAUGGGUAAGUAUAAGUAAUUGAUGUAUAUGUAAUGUUAUAUUAUGUUUAGAACAUGUAUUGGUUGGUUUUGAUUACUUGGUUAGGAUAUACUAGUAUAUUUAAAUGUUGUGUGUAAGUUGAUGUCAAAAAAGAGUGAGAAAAGUGGCCUUAAAAUGGCCUAAUUUCGUCCACACGGGUAGAGACAUAGGCGUGUGUCUAGCCAUGUGUGACACACAACCAUGCACAUGGGCGUGUAGUUUGGUCGUAUCUCCC
rnacentral:lncRNA from 1 species